rnacentral:rRNA from 1 species
GUAAUGCGUGACCAACCUGCCCCAUGCUCCAGAAUAGCUCUUGGAAACGGGUGGUAAUGCUGGAUGCUCCAACUUGACGCAUGUCUUGUUGGGAAAGUGUUUAGUGGCAUGGGAUGGGGUCGCGUCCUAUCAGCUUGUAGGCGGGGUAAUGGCCCACCUAGGCUUCGACGGGUAGCCGGCCUGAGAGGGCGGACGGCCACAUUGGGACUGAGAUACGGCCCAGACUCCUACGGGAGGCAGCAGGC